UUUUCCACAUUUUCUAGUCGGGGCCGACUUCUUCAGCUACAUGUAGCUUAGCUGCUAUUGUGAAGGCCAGUCCCCUGCCUCCUUCUCCUCCCCUUUAUCUUCAGAGCUCGGAAAGAGUUUAAAUUUGCAGACAAGGGAAAUAGGUUAGAUAACAAAAAGAACUUACUUGGAAACUCGCGGUUUGGGUUACUAGGAAAAAAGGGUAUAGCCUUUCAUAGAAUUCUUUAAAAAUAUAGUUUUCCGGGGCCACUGACAUGAGUACUGUGGCGACUUCCAGCUCUCUCUGCCUUCCAGCCUUGCUCCUUGCAUCAGUUGGAUUGUUUGAGGAAGACAGAGGAUCUUCUUGAUGGGGGAUGGAGGGUAGAGGGGUGGGGUGGAAGCUGUGAGUUACGACGGGAAACUCAUUCACUGGGAUACUUCGCAGUUUUUAAUCGCUUAUAUUCGGUUUGGACCUGCAGCUCUUGGAAAGUCUUGCGUCUUCCUGUCUGGGAAGUAGUCUAGGACCCACGGAAAGGUCAUCAACCUCUUUUCCAGACAGCCCUUCACUUGGGUUUCAUGCAAGGAUACAGGAGCUGGUGGACCCCGGUGAUGCUGGACAAAUGGUGCCUCUACAGCCGCAGAGGCAGAAGGCAGACAGCACACAUGUGCUGAGCUGCAAGCUUGCUCCUGAAGGAAGGCUCCGGAUUUGCCCCAAGGGGUGGUCACAGACGCAGCUCAAGCCCCUGGAAUCUUUGCUCAGUGGCAUGGGCAUCCACCCCAUAGGCUCCAGAGACUACCUCACCCUGGAUGUGGAGCAAGGUGUUUGCUUGGCAACCGGGGAGGGUGCCUGACCCCAGAGUAACAAGAUACAGAGGAUCUAGGGGCCUCAGGCAUUUCCCACCCAUUUCUGUUGAGAGGCAAUUCCACAGCUCUCAGUUUAAGCUGGAGGCAGUCUUAGGCUCUUUUUUCUUUUUUUUUUUUUGCGGUACGCGGGCCUCUCACUGUUGUGGCCUCUCCCGUUGCGGAGCACAGGCUCCAGAUGCGCAGGCUCAGCGGCCAUGGCUCACGGGCCUAGCCGCUCCGUGGCAUGUGGGAUCUUCCCAGACCGGGGCACGAACCCGCGUCCCCUGCAUCAGCAGGCGGACUCUCAACCACUGCGCCACCAGGGCAGCCCUGGAGGCAGUCUUAGAGAGGCUAGAACUACAAACCUUCUGCUGGUAACCCCACCUCUCACCUCACAACCUCCAGCUGCCGUCUCAUCAGAACUACUGAGGUGGGUACAGGUGAGGAUGAGUAAAUCAAAUCGAUGAUCAAUUAAAAGUGUUUAUUUUUAAGUAGAAAGGGGGAAGAGAGUGACACAGAGGCAACUUUUGGCAUCUUCUUUCUGGGCCAUCACCCCCAUGUGCUUCCCAACCCAAAGCACUGGCAGGAGGGGCCCCGGGACAGGAUGAGGGGCCAGACAGUCGCAAAGUCACAGAGAGAUCUGUACAGCCCUGGAGAGGUGAGAUUCAAGGGUCCAUCCCAGCUCCCUCGUCCUGGAACAGGAUUAGAGCUCAGGGGCAUAGGGCUCCCCGGUGGGUGAGGGCACCCGCAGCUCAGCAUCAUGCCUGACCACGGUGAAGAGCCCCACCACCGCCAGCAAAGCCAUCACCAUAACGGCGGAGCAGAUGCUGAACAUGUUCCGAGUGCCCGUUUUGCGAUCGCUGUCAUGGAGGACCAGAAGCCCCAAGCAGGCCAGUAAGUGCAGGGGCACCCGGAACCAGUUGAGGACACCAGCUUGCUCUGUCUCAGGGAUCACUUUUCUCCGCAGGAAGCCCAUGCUGGGAAAGUACAGCCCACAGGCUAACUCGAUAAGGAGGAAGGCUAUAAAGGACUCCACUGGACUUUCCUGGCCUGGGCUGGUAGAGAAGGUCAACAUGAAGAGGGAGAAGACGACGAUGAGGACAGCGAGGGAGACUAGGUGCAUGGGCUGAAGGUGGUACCUCUUGGAGGUAGCGAUGCGGUACAGAGAAGAGCCGAGCAGGCUGGCUGCCAUGAAGCUGGAGAAGAUGAUGCCCAGCGGGGCCCCAUGUGGGUCCAGCACAGGCGUCCAGAGGAAGACAAAGAUGAAGAUGACACUCUCAAACAGGGCCUGAAUGGUGCCUAGCAGCAGCACACGACGGUCCGACAGGAGACAGCGCAGACCCCCAGCACAGGUCCUGGGGAAGGCACGCUGCCGACCAUAGUUCUCUCCCCAGUUACGGAGGGCCAAGGCCCCAGCCAGAGCCAAGAGAGGGAUGGCAGCCACAAAGGGUGCCACAGGCCCCAGGCCCAUCCAGCAGGCCACGGCCUCAGCUGCCACACCUGCCACUACAGCCAGCACGUGAUUCCAGAAGGCAGCUCGGGCAAAGGUAGCCGGGAUCCACUCUGCGGGGAAGUCAUGCCGUUCCACAUGCUCGUGGAUGUACCAGGCCUCAAAGGCCGAGAAGAGCAGGGCUGUGGACAGCCCACCAAGUGCUCGGCCCACCAGCAGCACAAAGUAGUCCUGAGAGAGUUUGGUUAGGCAGCAGAGAGAGUAAGUGAGGGAGAAGAGGACACAAGACUUCUUGCGACCCAGCCAAUCCACAAGGGAGGAGGCCACCAGUCCAAAGAGGACUGUGGAGGCAAGGCCGCAGACAUAGAGGAUGGCGAUUUGUCCCUCCAGGAAGUGGUAAUGUUGAUAGAGUUUAUAGAGGUAGGGGGCCUGGAGCCAGUCAGCCGCCAGGGCCAGGAAGUAGACCUGAUAGAAGUCCAGUUGAAACCGAAGGAAGGAGGGAUUGCUGCAGGCUCUUCCAGAGGGCUUAGCCCGGCAUCUUGACAGCUCCAACCCCAGGCAGGAGGCCAGGAGGACCACAAAGGCAAGGUAGGCAGUCACCAGCAUGGCCGGCCCCCGGAAGACCUAGGGAGAGAACGGGGCUUCAGAGUCACAUCCAUUGCCCGGAUAGCGCCGUCAAGGAGCUGCGUGUCUAAGCAGAAGGCAGCUCCACCCAACCCCCACUGCCACCUGCACUUCCCCACCCCUCAACUCCACUCCCCCGGAGCUCAGACCAGAAGGACCAGCUGGGUGGGUGGCAGGAGUGGCCCACCAGAGCGGUCUCCAAGGACACUGUGCGGCAGGGAAGGGGUGGGAGAGGGGAGAAGAUUGAGCAUUCGCCUCAUCCUUGCCUGGUAUAGCAGAGAGGGAGUUCCUUCACUAAUCCCAGCCCUGCAGUUAAGGGGCUGCUGCCCUCUCCCACAGUAGCUUAUGCAUACAAUACUUCCUUCUGUUACCUCCCAUCCUCUUUGGGGAGCCCGUUUUUGCCCUCAAUGUCUCGUCAUCUGUCCCGGGCAUCCCCACCGCCCGCGCGGGCCUCUCGAGUUGCUUCUGGGUCACGCGCGUGCAUCUCAGAUUCUCCCUCCUCCAGGUCAGGGCACCCCCCCCCACACACACAAUGCGCCCCCUAGUCCCUGCCCAGCGCCGCCACAUCCGCUCGCGCCUCGCCCAGACACCAUUUCACCUGCUGCCCCGGUCUGCGGGGAC